GAAUUAACAUCUGCUCCCUGAAGAUUGCUUAACAGAAAAGUUCAGACGUUUUCCCGUUUGAAAUCUCAAGUCUGUUGCCUUAUCACUACAUCACCACGUUACUUCUUUGCUUUAAAUUAAUGAAAGUGCUUCAUAAUGUCCCUCUCAUAUAUACAUAUAUAUAUAUAUAUAUAAAAGGUAUCAUCAAUUUCCAAAUAGAAAAGCAAGGUGUUGGAAUGAUACGUGACUUGUUCCAGGUCACAAAGGGAGAAAACUGCAGAACCGAAAACUGUAAUCCUAAUUUUUUCUCUUCACCACAUAAAUAUCCUUGGUACACUGGAGGUAUUGGUGUAAAACUAAGAAUCACCUCUAUCUGUUAUCUUCAUUCUCUAUUUCCUGUUUAUUUUCUUCACACGGGUGCCAGUGUGUCUGAAAAGUACGACGCCGUGUUCCUUUCUGUGGAUUCAAUUUGUAGGAAAUGACCACUAUAAAUCCCAAUGGAGCAAAGGAAUUACAUCUGUGUUAUUACAGGGACUGUGAAUUGCCUGCACAGAACAACAGAGCUGUGACAAAUACUUAUUUGCAUUACUCCCUCAUUUACUCAUAUGCACCUGUGGAGCCUGGAACAGGCUUAGCAAAGGCCUUUCUGCUGGCAGACUAUGUGCAGUUCUCCAUCUUUCAAACACAUUGAGUUAAGAAUCUGAGAAAAAGAUUGUUUAAUCUCCUACUUAUCAGUGUGUUCUCCAAUAAAAGAAGUAACAUCUAAGGAAUAAAACCAGAAAUAGUAGGAACUGAAGUAGUUUGUUCAGAAAACCUUUCUGCCAGGCCAGGAUUUCUGUCUACAGAUGUGCUUUUUUUUUCAUUCACAAAUACUGUACACAGUGCAAUGGCUGGAGGGUUUUUUGUUUUGUUUUGUUUUUGUUUUGUUUUGCAACACACAUAGGUGUGAAAUUCAUUCUCAGCUUCUUCUAAAGAUGACACAAAAUUCUGGAUAUUACUUUAGAGCAAUGACUUCACGUUGGGACCAUCUAACUGGGGAAAGCAAGAAGAAAAUUCUUUCCCUAACAUCAAGCUGUAUGUGAGACAUUACUGUGAGAGCAGCACACAGUGGCCAAAAUGUAUUUAGGUCUACACAGAGACCAAGAAACAGAAAUCCACCACUACAAUAUUUAAGAAGUAAAAGCGGUAGCAAGAACUGUGAAAUGUUUGCAGGCAGUGUGGUAACUCCUUAAAGAUAUAUCAGAAAUAUGAGAUACACAGAACAAAUGAAUAUCACUUAAAGACAUACUUCUGGAAAGAUCAAAAGGGUCCAGAAUGCUUAAUAACAACUCGGCAGGUUCAAAAUGUUAUUGCAACAAAUGAAUGCUGAAGGGCAGAUUCAGGAGGAAGCAGAAGGCAGCGUUCUUGCAAAUUACAAUUACUAUUCUACUGAAAUAAAGAACCAGAGACCAAGCAGUGAUCCAUGACCAAUGUUGGCGACUAAAAUUAAACUGCCAUGCACAUACAUAAUCACAUGGAAACAACAGGGCGCUCAGUCCAGAGCCCAAAGGAUAAAUGUGAGUAUCAGAGGGAGUGUUGCUCUGUACCUACAAAUGACUCAGGGAGACCUUAAGCAUGUCCAUGAAGCAAAUACAAAUAAAUAGAGCUGAUUGAACAGUAUGAAAAGUUUCUACCCACACACCAAUUAUCAGAAGGCUUGCCAGUAAUAAAGAGGAACCAUAC
rnacentral:lncRNA from 7 species